CAGCUUGCCCCGGUAUGAGACCUGUCAGGUGUUCGGCCGCAGUCUGCUGAAGUCUAUCUUCACUGUCACCCGCAGACAGUUACUGGAGAAGUUCAGAGUGGAGAAAGACAAACUCCCACCAGAGAAACGCACUCUGAUCCUCACACACUUCCCCAAGUUUCUUUCCAUGUUGGAAGAAGAAAUCUAUGGAGAGAACUCACCCAUUUGGGAGGCAGACUUCACCAUGCCAGCCUCAGAGGGGACACAGCUGGGGCAUCAAACAGUGCUGAGUCCAGUCUCGGUGUCUGGCUCUCCUCUCAGUAAAGGCAGCAGUGGUUCUGCUCUGGGUGUUACAGGUUUGGACGUCGCUUCCUCUGAACCAGU